AGUGAACGCUGGCGGUAGGCCUAACACAUGCAAGUCGAACGGCAGCACAGUAAGAGCUUGCUCUUACGGGUGGCGAGUGGCGGACGGGUGAGGAAUACAUCGGAAUCUACUUUUUCGUGGGGGAUAACGUAGGGAAACUUACGCUAAUACCGCAUACGACCUACGGGUGAAAGCAGGGGAUCUUCGGACCUUGCGCGAUUGAAUGAGCCGAUGUCGGAUUAGCUAGUUGGCGGGGUAAAGGCCCACCAAGGCGACGAUCCGUAGCUGGUCUGAGAGGAUGAUCCGCCACACUGGAAAUGAGACACGGUCCAGACCCCUAGGGGAGGCAGCAGGGGGGAAUUUUGGAAAAGGGGCGCAAGCCUGAUCCAGCCAUACCGGGUGGGUGAAGAAGGCCUUCGGGUUGUAAAGCCCUUUUGUUGGGAAAGAAAAGCAGCAGGUUAAAACCCCGCUGUUCUGACGGUACCCAAAAAAUAAGCCCCGGCUAAUUUCGU
rnacentral:rRNA from 1 species